rnacentral:rRNA from 1 species
GACGAACGCUGGCGGCGUGCUUAACACAUGCAAGUCGAACGGAGUGGCGAACGGGGGAGUAAAACGUGGGUGACCUGCCCUGUACUUCGGGAUAAGCCUGGGAAACUGGUUCUAAUACCGGCUAUUGUGGGCUGGGCCGGCGGCUUAUUAGCUUGUUGGUGGGGUAAUGGCCUACCAAGGCGGCGACGGGUACCCGGCCUGGGAGGGUGGACUGCCACAUGGGGCCUGAGACACGGACCAGACGCCUACGGGGGGCAGCAGGGGGGAACAUUGUACAAUCGGGGGAAGCGUGAUGAAGAGACGCCGGGUGUGUGAUGACCGCCUUCGGGUUGUAAACUCCGUUCACCAUAGACGCGGUAGAUGCAGAAGAAGCACCGGCUAACUACGUGCCAGCAGCCGCGGUAAUUC